UUGACCGCCUAUAUCUCGAUCCGACUUAAGCUUUUUCCAAUGCGUACUAACGAUGGAUCUAAGCCGCAGACCGAAAAUAAAACUUAGAAAAAUAUUCUAAAAAGAAUAAAAGAGUAAGGGCGGAACUACUUACCUAUUACCCGAGUAACUCGACUCUCGACUACCUGACCAAUGCUCCCGACGACCACGACUUCUCCGAGAAGCUUCACGACCUAACUAGUCUAAAUGUGAUUUUUUCGUGGUUUAGAGAGCAAAUGGCGAGAUGGGCUAUUUAUACGGGUGGGAAAACAUGGGGAGCAAGCAACGGAAGCACGAGGGUGCCAACACACGCACAACACACGCCAAGCUUGUGACAGAGCUACUUCCACCACAAGCACCUCCAUGACAUGGCCGCAAAAUCCCGCAAACACCUAUACAGCCAAAUCGGAACCAUACAAGUUUAUGAUUAAUUUUACGACCAAAAUUCAAGUAAGGUGACAUGUCCUCGGCCACUUACUCUAUUGA